rnacentral:lncRNA from 1 species
CGAAGUCGGAUUCCAAUUAAAUUUAAAACAUUUUUAUUUUUAUUUUGGGAAUGUAUAAUUUUUAAACUUGGAUGAUUUUUUUGCUUUAUUUAGAUUUUAUUUUUAUUUGUUUUAAUUAACGAAAACAUGUGUUUUUGCUAUGUAGGAACCCCAUAGUUUGAAUGGCACAAAUUUUUUGAAUGUAAUCGGAAGGACGAGACAACCAAACAACAAUCGAGACAAAUGGGUAAUUUCAAUCCUUAAUUUUA